UACGUAGGGUGCGAGCGUUAAUCGGAAUUACUGGGCGUAAAGCGUGCGCAGGCGGUUUUGUAAGCCAGAUGUGAAAUCCCCGGGCUUAACCUGGGAAUGGCAUUUGGGACUGCAAGGCUGGAGUGUGGCAGAGGGGGGUGGAAUUCCGCGUGUAGCAGUGAAAUGCGUAGAGAUGCGGAGGAACACCGAUGGCGAAGGCAGCCCCCUGGGCCAACACUGACGCUCAGGCACGAAAGCGUGGGGAGCAAACAGG
rnacentral:rRNA from 1 species